rnacentral:snRNA from 1 species
GUUAUUAGAACAGCCACUAAUGAUACAGAGAUUAGCAUGGCCUCUGUGCAACACUGACACGCAAAUUCAAGAAGUGCUCCAUAUUUUU